GGAAGUACAAGUCGUAACAAGGUCUCCGUAGGUGAACCUGCGGAGGGAUCAUUACAGAGUUCAUGCCCUACCGGGUAGAUCUCCCACCCUAUGUUAUUAUUACUUUGUUGCUUUGGCGGGCCGUUAGGCUCCGGCCCGACUACCGGCCCCGGCUGGUAAGCGCCCGCCAGAGGACCCAAAACCCUGAAUAUUAGUGUCGUCUGAGUACUAUAUAAUAGUUAAAACUUUCAACAACGGAUCUCUUGGUUCUG
rnacentral:misc_RNA from 1 species